rnacentral:rRNA from 1 species
GACGGAGGAUGCAAGCGUUAUCCGGAAUUAUUGGGCGUAAAGAGCUCGUAGGCGGUCUGUCGCGUCUGCUGUGAAAUCUCAGGGCUUAACCCUGAGCUUGCAGUGGGUACGGGCAGACUAGAGUGCGGUAGGGGAGACUGGAAUUCCUGGUGUAGCGGUGAAAUGCGCAGAUAUCAGGAGGAACACCGGUGGCGAAGGCGGGUCUCUGGGCCGUAACUGACGCUGAGGAGCGAAAGCAUGGGGAGCGAACAGG